ACGGGUGAGUAAUGCCUAGGAAUCUGCCUGGUAGUGGGGGACAACGUUUCGAAAGGAACGCUAAUACCGCAUACGUCCUACGGGAGAAAGCAGGGGACCUUCGGGCCUUGCGCUAUCAGAUGAGCCUAGGUCGGAUUAGCUAGUUGGUGAGGUAAUGGCUCACCAAGGCGACGAUCCGUAACUGGUCUGAGAGGAUGAUCAGUCACACUGGAACUGAGACACGGUCCAGACUCCUACGGGAGGCAGCAGUGGGGAAUAUUGGACAAUGGGCGAAAGCCUGAUCCAGCCAUGCCGCGUGUGUGAAGAAGGUCUUCGGAUUGUAAAGCACUUUAAGUUGGGAGGAAGGGCAGUAACUUAAUACGUUGCUGUUUUGACGUUACCGACAGAAUAAGCACCGGCUAACUCUGUGCCAGCAGCCGCGGUAAUACAGAGGGUGCAAGCGUUAAUCGGAAUUACUGGGCGUAAAGCGCGCGUAGGUGGUUCGUUAAGUUGGAUGUGAAAUCCCCGGGCUCAACCUGGGAACUGCAUUCAAAACUGUCGAGCUAGAGUAUGGUAGAGGGUGGUGGAAUUUCCUGUGUAGCGG
rnacentral:rRNA from 1 species